GAAAUAUUGAACGAAAAUGGCUCACUUAUAGAAGAGCUGGGAGUUCAGGAGGGACACAGCAUGGAGCACAGGACACGAAUUUGGUGGAUGCUGCAAGCAAAUAGGGUGGCAAGAAAGAAGCAAAAGGCAAGCUCGCCGUCCCUCACAUUUAUGCAUCUGGAGACUAUCUGCCCUCACCUGCUUUCGAGUAAGUACAAGGUGCUCGAAUGUUCCACCUAUGGUUCCAGUGCAUCAUGCAGGGAACUUGAGGUAGUAGUUACCAGAUAUUUAUGUCUUUGCCUACAUAGGAUGAAUAACUCAAAUACUUGUUCAGGCAAUGUUAGUAGACCCAAAUACAUUUGGAAUGCUCUCCUCACCCCCCUACAUUUUUGUGGGCAAGCCUUUUUACAUAAAUAAAACACAUGACUCUUGUGGGGCCUGGUGGAGUGAUUUAGGGAGGUCAAAACUAACAAUACAGCCAAUGACCAUCAACUCCCUUUACUGAGAGCUAUCCCUGGAAUUUUUCACACUUUAACCUCCCUCGC
rnacentral:lncRNA from 1 species